rnacentral:rRNA from 1 species
GGGGCGUUAUGCUAGACAGGAGGCCUGCGUGCCAGUGAUGCACAUUAAACGGCCGCGGUAUUCUGACCGUGCAAAGGUAGCAUAAUCAUUUGUUCCCUAAAUAGGGACUUGUAUGAAUGGCCACACGAAGGUCUAACUGUCUCUUGCUCCCAAUCAGUGAAAUUGACCUCCCCGUGAAGAGGCGGGGAUACUAUAAUAAGACGAGAAGACCCUAUGGAGCUUUAAUUAGCCAGCUUAACAUGAUAAUCAAUACUCAAAAGAGAUAAAAUAACCUUGCUUUAAGUUGGUAAUUUGGGUUGGGGUGACCUCGGAGUACAAAAAAUCCUCCGAGUGAUUAACUUCUAGGCUCACUGGCCAAAAGAACAGUAUCAUUAAUUGAUCCAAAUAAUUGAUCAACGGAACAAGUUACCCUAGGGAUAACAGCGCAAUCCCAUUCAAGAGUCCAUAUCGACAAUGGGGUUUACGACCUCGAUGUUGGAUCAGGACAUCCUGGCGGUGCAGACGCUGCCAAAGGUUCGUUUGUUCAACGAUUAAUAGUCCUACGUGAUCUGAGUUCCAGA